UCGUACAGACAACCCGGAGAAACCAGCAACCUACCGUUCAAUUCCAUAUGUUCAUGGUCUCAGCUCAAGCAUCAAGAGAAUACUCCACAAGAGCAACACAGCAAUAGGGAUCUCUCACAGUUACAGAAACACAGUAGGACAUCUGUAUAAAAAUGCAAAAGAUCCGGUAUCCGAUCUCAGCAAAUGUAACGUCGUAUACCGGAUCGACUGUAAAGACUGCCCAAGUACAUACAUUGGAAUGACAACGAACAAGCUGAGGAACCGAAUGUACGGACAUCAAACACACGUAAACACACUAGAGCGAAGAUUAUCGGAAGGCCACCAAUACACGGAUCCAGAAAUACUGCAGCUCCAGGAAAAAUCUGCGCUAAUCCAGCACUGCAUUGAGCAACAACACCGAUUCAAUAUCAGCAACCCCUCCAUCGUCGAUACAACACAUAAGAAACAGGCUCUGCAAGUGUUGGAGAUGUGUCACAUCACGACCACCUCCAACACGGUCAACCAUCGGACUGAUACCGACAACUUAAGCUGUGCGUACGCACACCUCCUCGCUCAAAUCAAAAACCAAAGAGCAGAGAGGAGUGCGUCGUCAACAAUCCAAAAUAACCGACGAGAAACAGCUGAUCCAACACCCUAACCUACACUAACAAACCCUACCACCCAAAUAACACCAAAAGAUACACACCCCACAGUUAAACCCGAACGGCGAUUGAUAACAGCCGCAUUCUUGUGUUCCGCUGAUUUCUAGUUUUCGAAUUUCUCCCGAUUCGUACCACCCACCCAACAUCCUACUGGGGUGCUGGUGAUGAACGGAAAAGGUGCAGUGUUUUAUGGAAUAAAAACCAGACAAACGAUCGUGUGCAAAGUACGAUCUUUACAAGUUGAUUAAGAUCGAGCCCUGAGGAAGAUCCAACCCAAGGAUCGAAACGUUGGCAAUGAUAUAAAAUUAUCAACGCUUUUUCCCGUGACUGAAAGCCGAAAAAACUCCGUAGCUAUCAAAAAUCCCAGUCGAAUAUUUUCCCAAAUCUGCAAUGGCGACGAAUACAC